UGGAGGUGGGGGGUGCGUAGGUGAUGUGAUUUACAGCCCUUGUUUACCAGAGAUGUGAUUAGCGAUAAAAAAGAUAGGAUGGAAUGGGAUAAGAGAUAGGAUGGGACAGCGGAUUAGACAGAUAUGAGAUAGAGAGGUGCAGUUUUGAAGACAAAUGAAGAUGCCCAAAGGAAUUUGGUGCUUAUUGUGUACUAAGGGCGCCCCUUAACGCCAAGAGACAGGGUCCCACGG